UACGUAGGGUGCAAGCGUUGUCCGGAAUUAUUGGGCGUAAAGAGCUCGUAGGCGGUUUGUCGCGUCUGCUGUGAAAACCUAAGGCUCAACCUUGGGCUUGCAGUGGGUACGGGCAAACUAGAGUGCGGUAGGGGAGAUUGGGAUUCCUGGUGUAGCGGUGGAAUGCGCAGAUAUCAGGAGGAACACCAGUGGCGAAGGCGGUUCUCUGGGCAUUACCUGACGCUGAGGAGCGAAAAGUGUGGGGAGCGAACAGG
rnacentral:rRNA from 1 species